CCACUGCUGAGGAGUCCCACAAUAGGACGAAACGGUCGUUCAGUGC
rnacentral:hammerhead_ribozyme from 1 species